AUGGAGGAGCAGCUAGCGGCUUUGAUCCAGUCGGUCAAAGACAGCCGUGCAACCACCGACGCCAGAUUGGAGGCCAUCCAGACAUCGCUCGAGCUCUGGCGGCCGGCGGUGUCCAACCUUCAAGGCCAGCUGGACGAGCUGCGUAUCCAGGUGGGCCGCAUCGCGCUCGCAGAUCCGGCAGCCGCCAUCGCCGAUCCCGAAGCCGCAGUCCCAGAUCCGGUGCCGCGCACCGUCACGUCGCCCCAAGCGGUCGACCCGGGGCACCACGGGACAAGUGGCCACGGCGACAUCCACGACAUCGGGGGUUUGGCACAUGGGGUGGUCACCACCCUAGCGCCGCAUCCGGCCAAUGGUGCGUACAAGCCUCCGCCCUUUCCUCUUGAUCCUGUCGUAGGAGGUGGUCGUGAGUGUGAGCAGCGGCAGUACGUCCAGCACAAUUGGGCCCUGCCGAAGUUGGAUUUUCCACCCUUUGAUGGGGAUAAUCCAUAGUUCUGGAAAAGUAAGUGUGAAAAGUACUUUGAUGUCUAUGGAGUGCAACCUGAUCUGUGGGUGCGUGUAGCAACACUGCAUUUCAUAGGGAAUGCAGCUCGCUGGCUGCAGUUGCAGGAAUCACAGAGCGCGACCUUUACUUGGGAGGCUCUGUGCACUGCACUGUGUAGCAAGUUUGGUAGGGAACAAUAUCAAACACAUUUACGACAGCUUCAUAGCCUUAGGCAAACGAGUACGAUCCAUGAGUACAUGGGUCGAUUUGAGGAGUUGAUGCACAAUAUGUUAGCGCAUAACUCUGGUUUUGAU
rnacentral:rRNA from 1 species